GGAGCUAGGACUUAGAGCUGAGUGAGCAUCAGGGAGAGAGGGAGGGACAGAGAGAGAGAGAGAGAGAGAGAGAGAGAGAGAGAGAGAGAGAGAGAGAUUGGCUGCUGGUGCUGGAUAACCCUGCUUGCCAGCUGCCUCAGUCAACAACUUCCUGAGCUGCUUUUUCUUUUACAAAAGGAUGUCAGCUCUGAGAGCCAGCGAGAAAUAACAGACUUCACCUUGGAACAGCUCAACACUCGUGCAGCAUUAAAGCAGAUCUGAAGAAAAACACAAAAAUCAAGCACUCAGCCAGCCCCUCUUCAUGACUACAUUGCAGAGAGAACAGUUUCAUGCUCCAGAAAGGGCCUGACCUCCCAUGGGUGUCAACGAAGCGUGGCGUGUCAAGCUGAGGUAAGACUAAGCUCCCUGCUUUCUAUUAAGAUUGGGCAAGGCAACCCAGUAUGAGGAAUAGAUUCCUGGACUCCAGCCAAAUUAUUAUGCUCCCACCUUAGGAAGGAAUCCUACAAGUAAAUAAAGCUAUACAACUAUCACACAUAUGAAGAGGGCCUAGAUCAGUUCCAUGAAGGCUUCUUAGCUGUUGGUCGAGAAUCUGUGAGCUCCUAUGAGCCCAUGUUAGUUGUUUCCAGGGGUUCCACUGGCAUGACCUUGACCCUCCUGCCUCAUGCAAUCCUUCCUCCCUUUCUGACAUUCCUUGAGCAUGACACAGUGCUUGGAUGUGCAUCUCUCCAUUUGCUUCCCUCAUUCAUUUGUGAAAGCUCUCUGAUGAUAAUCAUGGUUGUUAACAAUCUGAUUAUACAAAUAACCCCCCACACUUAUAUUACCUGAGAACAUGGACAAACUAUAGAGAGUGGAGAUUAGAAAGGAGCCCUAUCAACAUGGAAUCAUAGUAGUACAUGCACAGUGUGAAAAUCCCUGAAAAUGACAAAACAAGACAUAUUUUAUUAUAGAAAUAAGAAAAAAUCUCAUCUGAAUGCAUAACUAAUAACAUGAAUAGAUACCCCCUAUAUUAAUAAAAUUGAAAGUUUGUAUGACAGUAAAGCUAC
rnacentral:lncRNA from 1 species